GAAAGUAGGAGGUCCAGGUGAUAGCUGGAGAAUCGAGGGCUUUGGGAGAUGCUGCCAGGUGGCCUUCGAGGAUUGGAGAGGAACCUCACUUUGUGCACCUCUUGUAUUUUCCUAUAUGUGAUCCAGGUAGGCGAGCAGAUCAGGCUCGCA